AUUGAUUUUGCCAAAAMRYAUUUUYCAAAUUCCUGUGUACACGUUGUCGUGGUUGGCAAUAAAGUGGACUGCAAAGAAGAAGGUAAGAAAGCUAAAAGAAAAAUCACACGAGAACGAGGACAAGCCUUUGCAGACAGUCUUGGAUAUCCUUACGUUGAAACAAGUGUUACGCCAGAAUAUUCACACACUAUCAUGGCAAUGUAUGAAAAGAUGGUGGAAAUUAUGGUACAGACCACAGCUCCAGAGAGUGUUAAUGUCAAUGUUAAAGACACAAAAACUGAUACAGUUAAACUUGAUGAGGCGUCCAGUCAAUCUAAAUCAAAGUGUCCUUGUUAAAAUUCUUACUGGUCUUGAUAAAGAGACAAGCUGACCCAGUGUGCAGUUGGGUGUGGUCGGGUAAGAGGAAUGCUUUGUCGGUCGCCUAAGGUCGUUAUACUUUCCUAUUGCUAGUAUUUUUAAUGCAGUUGAUAUAUGUUAUCAAAUGGACACCUUCGUGGUGGUCGAAAUAACGAGUCAUUUUGGAAGAUAGUUAGGUAUAGGAGAAUAUUUUUUAGAAUUCAAAAUAUAUUAUAUAUUAAUAUAAGCCUACUUUCAAAAGUGCUUUCCRCUGAUUUCAUACAAUGGACAAUAUACAUGUAAAGCAUACAGCACUGCCAUAUGGAAGAUCCUUUAGACAUAGACAUUUAUAGAAAGUUYUGAAGCUAUUACAAAAUGUUAACGAAGUUAAGUAAGGAUAAAGAUACAAGGAUUUGUAUGAAAUUGUUCGUACUGGCGUUUGUUACUUCGUUCUGGUGUUUUUUUUUUACCUCAUAACUUCAAAAGGAUUGAUUUUUUAUGAAAGUUUGAUGACUUCUUUUGUUUUGAUUUCUAUCACCGGAGUGUUUUAUGAAUUUCUAAAGCGAUAGUCUGCUAAUUAGUGGUAGUAACGAUAUUAUAUUGAAUAAUAUAGUUGUAUAUAGAAUAGUCACAAUAUUACUAUGGUUAUGCUAUAACGAAAGUAAAUGUAAAAGAAAAAUAAUUAAAUAAAAGAGUCGUGCAUUC